rnacentral:rRNA from 1 species
UACGAAGGGGGCUAGCGUUGUUCGGAAUUACUGGGCGUAAAGCGCACGUAGGCGGGUCGUUAAGUCGGGGGUGAAAUCCUGGAGCUCAACUCCAGAACUGCCUUCGAAACUGACGAUCUUGAGUUCGGGAGAGGUGAGUGGAACUGCGAGUGUAGAGGUGAAAUUCGUAGAUAUUCGCAAGAACACCAGUGGCGAAGGCGGCUCACUGGCCCGAGUACUGACGCUGAGGUGCGAAAGCGUGGGGAGCAAACAGG